ACCAAGCCUCCAUGAUGAUCGUGAAAGCCUUUUGAAGAGAAGCCGCUGUUCCUGGCUCAGCUGUCGGCUUAGAAUAAUCAUUUUCUGGCUUCUCUGCUUUCACCUUUGCCCCUCCUCAGAUGUGGAAAAUAGCCGGUCUUCUACUUUGGGGAUGUCCAGUACUCGGUGGAUGAGAGUGCCGGCUACGUGGAGGUGCAGAUAUGGAGGACGGGUACAGACCUCUCCAGGCCUUCGAGCGUCACCGUGAGGUCCCGGAAAACAGAACCACCCUCUGCAGAUGCUGGAACAGAUUAUGUGGGAAUCAGCCGCAGUUUAGAUUUUGCGCCUGGCGUCAACAUGCAGACUGUUCGUGUUGUCAUUCUGGAUGACCUGGGAAGACCCGUGCUGGAGGGAAUUGAAAAGUUUGAACUGGUACUCCGCAUGCCAGUGAACGCUGCCCUUGGCGAGCCCAGCAAGGCCAUGGUGUCCAUAAAUGACUCGGCCUCCGACUUGCCUAAAAUGCAAUUCAAAGAGAGAGUGUACACUUGCAAUGAAGACGAUGCCCGUGUCGUGGCAAUGAUCUACAGGAGCGGUGACGUCCAGCACAGGUCCUCUGUGAGAUGCUACACGAGGCAGGCGUCCGCGCAGGUGAUGAUUGACUUCGAAGAACGCCCAAAUACUGAUGUCUCCAUUGUCACAUUCCUCCCCGGUGAGACCGAGAAGCCCUGUGUCCUCGAGCUGAUGGAUGACGAUAUACAUGAGGCCGUGGAGGAGCUGCAGCUGGUACUUGGCACACCACAGAGCAGCUCUGCCUUCGGGGCUGCAGUGGGCGAGCAAAAUGAAACUCUGAUAAAGAUCCAGGACGAUGCUGACAAAGCUGUUAUCAAAUUUGGAGAAACCAAAUUUAGUGUCACUGAGCCCAGCAAACCAGGAGAGUCCGUGGUCGUCAAAAUUCCAGUGGUCCGCCAAGGAGACACUUCAAAGGUUUCCAUUGUGAGAGUCCACACCAAAGAUGGCUCGGCCACCUCCGGAGAGGAUUAUCACCCCAUGUCAGAAGCCGAAGGACAUCUACAAAUCAGCUCCUCCACCUUCUGUAGUAAGGCCUGCUACUCAGGCUUCAAUAAAACCCAUCAUGAAGUCGAGUUUAAGGAAGGGGAAACCCAGCAUAUCGUUGAAAUUGAAGUCGUCUUCGACGGGGUAAGAGAGAUGAGGGAGGCCUUCACUGUUCACCUAAAACCAGAUGAAAAUAUGGUGGCAGAGACGCAGGCAACCAAGGCCAUUGUAUAUAUAGAGGAAGUCAACAGCAUGGCGGAUGUCACCUUUCCCUCUGUCCCUCACAUUGUGUCCUUGCUGAUAUAUGAUGACACUUCCAAAGCCAAGGAGAACGCUGGGCCUGUGUCUGGCUAUCCCGUUGUCUGCAUUAUGGCUUGCAACCCCAAAUAUCCAGACUACGACAAAACAGGCUCUAUUUGUGCCAGCGAGAACAUCAAUGACACUUUGACCCGAUACCGGUGGCUGAUCAGCGCUCCUGCUGGCCCGGAUGGUGUGACCAGCCCUUUGAGAGAGGUGGACUUCGACACCUUUUUCACAUCAUCCAAAACGAUCACGUUAGACUCCAUAUACUUUCAGCCUGGUUCCCGGGUACAGUGUGCGGCUCGUGCAGUGAACGCCGAUGGGAAUGAAGGCCUGGAACUGAUGAGCCCCAUCGUCACCAUCGACAGAGAGGAAGGUCUCUGUCAGCCCCGUGUGCCUGGGGUCGUGGGGGCGGAGCCAUUCUCAGCUAAAUUGCGCUACACUGGUCCCGAGGACCCAGACUUUGCAAAUCUCAUCAAGCUCACCGUCACGAUGCCACAUAUAGAUGGGAUGCUGCCCAUCAUCUCCACGAGAGAGCUGUCCAACUUUGAGCUGACCCUCAGCCCUGAUGGCACCAGAGUUGGGAACCACAAAUGCUCCAACCUGCUGGACUACAAUGAAGUGAAGACCCACCAUGGCUUCCUGACUAAUGCCACGAAGAACCCAGAGGUCAUUGGAGAGACCUAUCCUUACCAGUACAGUGUGCUGGUCAGGGGCUCCAGUACCUUACGAUUCUACCGAAACUUGAAUCUGGAAGCCUGCCUAUGGGAGUUCGUCAGCUGCUAUGACAUGUCGGAGCUCCUGGCAGACUGUGAAGGCACCAUCGGGACGGAUGGCCAGGUCCUAAACCUCGUGCAGUCCUACGUGACCCUUCGAGUUCCUCUGUACGUUUCCUACGUGUUCCAUUCCCCCGUGGGGGUGGGAGGCUGGCAGCAUUUCGACUUGAAGUCGGAACUCCGGCUCACAUUUGUGUACGACACUGCCAUCUUGUGGAACCAUGGGAUCGGCAGCCUGCCGGAAGCUGAACUCCAAGAACUGCGCUCCACUUUGCGUGUUUCUAUGGGCAUAUCGAUCUGGUUUGUUUUCUGAUAUUUAAGGACUGUGAGAUAAAUGCCCUUGAUAAUCAAAUGUCCACACCACUAAUGAAGGCUGUACAGAGCUGGGAGACAGAGAUCGUGUCUGUCCUACUUGAUCAUGGAGCAGAUCCCAAUAUCAAAGACUGCAACGGAGAAGCAGCGAUCCACCAUGCAGUGUAUGUAGACAGGCCAGAUAUUGCCAGCAGUCUUCUUGAAUUUGGGGGAAACAUUGAAGAUACUACAAAGAACAACACUCAUGUAUGCUGUUAGAUGGGAUUGUGAAAUUAUGGUUGAAAUUUUACUGAAGAAAGGUGUUGAUCACCAGUUAAAGGACACAUUUGGAUGGAGUGCUCUUUAUUAUGCCAUUAUGGGGAAACGCAAAAC